UACGGAGGGGACUAGCGUUGUUCGGAAUUACUGGGCGUAAAGCGCACGUAGGCGGAUUUGUAAGUCAGGGGUGAAAUCCCGGGGCUCAACCUCGGAACUGCCUUUGAUACUGCAAAUCUCGAGUCCGGAAGGAGGUGAGUGGAAUUCCUAGUGUAGAGGUGAAAUUCGUAGAUAUUAGGAAGAACACCAGUGGCGAAGGCGGCUCACUGGUCCGGUACUGACGCUGAGGUGCGAAAGCGUGGGGAGCAAACAGG
rnacentral:rRNA from 1 species